CAAACAAAGCAUAGGACUAGACCACCAACUAUGGCAGUUUAAAGCUAAAGUACUACUCGUUGCUUUCAACCACCUAAAUGAAAAAGUCUUGAUCUUGUCCAACAUAUAAAGUAAAGAAUUCGCCGAGCCUUUAAACAAUCGAUGGUUUCUUUCGGUUCACACAACCCACACACAAGCAAGCCAUAUGAGUUGCAUAAAAGAAUGUCGAGCUCGAAGACCACCCGCUGAACCAGUAAACUGAACGAAAUGAUCUGAAAGCG
rnacentral:lncRNA from 1 species